CUCCCCCUCCCCAGUCAAUCUCCUAAUGCAGCAAUAUAGACAAUACAAGCAAUAAGAAAGUCAGUGAAAAAAAAACACGAGAUUUGAACAACGUCCAAGUCAGAUUUAACACAGGAAGUGGGGAGUACUAUGCAAUAAUAUGACAUGGAAGCUGUCAAGGUGCAAUAGCUCACAUCACAAUCCAACAGCUGUUUGCCGACUAGUAAAUAAAGUGGAAACGUAAAAGCAUAUGGCACUCAUCUGUCAUAUAGUGUUACCAUGGGCGUCCACAGGAAUUUUUCCGGGGGGGCAUAAUUGUAAUGACAUCCAUGCUUGGUACCUUUUUGACAGUGUCAUGAAAGGGAACGGGCAUAGUCAUUAUCACAUAAAGCCAGGGUGAAUAGCGUUUUCACAACUAUGGUAUCAGGAAUAUAUGUUUGUAUUCCUGACACUAUAGUGUUCCUUUAACCCCUUAAGGACCAAACUUCUGGAAUAAAAGGGAAUCAUGACAUGUCAGACAUGUCAUGUGUCCUUAAGGGGUUAAGCAAAUUAAAGGACCAUUCUGGUCACCAUAACAACUUCACCUAAAUGAAAAUGCUAUGAUGCCAGGAAGCCCCUGGGUGCUCUCUUUCCUUUAACCCCUUAAGGACCAAACUUCUUCAAUAAAAGGGAAUCAUGACAUGUCACACAUGUCAUGUGUCUUUAAGGGGUUAAACCGCUCUCAAAUGGUUUAACCCCAAAAGCUU